AUGGCAUCUGAAAGACGCUGUUGCGAUCCUUUCCUGUCGUGUCGCCGAGUCCAGGGGCUCCUAAUCUUCCUGAAGGGACCUCCGGAAGAGGAGUCGAGGUUUUGCUCCCUUGUACAGUCUUUCAAAAGAAGCACCUUUCUUUGGGGGGUGUCGUGGUGUGGGGUGUGGUGGGAGAUUUCAUGCCCCGGGCCACAGCCGUCGCCGUCAGUCCCCUCCACUGCCUGCCCGGGUCACGCGCGUCCUCAGCCGUUGUUACAAACUCUCCAGACUUGGGCUCGCGCCUUGGGGCUCCGCUCCCGCGCACCCGGUGCGCGCCCUGCGAGGCGCCGAGCAGCCCCCUCGGCUCACGUGUGGGCGCGCGCUCGGACACGGGUGCCGGCAGCAGACCCGGCUGGGGGACCACGCGCACGGACGCCUGGGCGCCGCGCAUCCCUGUGCCUGGCCCACACGCGCGAGCACACCCUCGCACCAGCUCGGACGCCCUCUCCUCUCGCGCGCAUGGGCCUGGGAUGGGGACGCCCCCGAGGAGUGCCGACCCUUCUCCUGACCGCAGUUCACCGCCGGAGAGUUGGGUCUCCCUUCCCUUCUCGGGUCGCGGGGAGGAGAGGCUUCCCUCCUCAGCCACCCAGUCUGCAGCCCGGCGGAGGACAGGGCGGGCGGAGUGGGGGUGCUGGCCGCGAGCCCCGCGGCCCUGGCUUACCUAGGUCGCGAGCCCGGCUCGGGGCUCGGCUGCGGGCGCUCGGGGUGGUGGGCGCUGGAGCGGCGCAGGCGAGCGUGGGUGUCCGGGCGCAGCGGCCGCUCUUGGGAGGCUCCUGCAGCUGUCAGGGGCGCCGACCUGACCGACAGCGGCCCCGGCAAAUCCAGCCCGCCAGCGCCGGCCCGGGCUCUGCCGCGGGAACCGAGGCGCCCCGCAGCGUUUCCCGAAGGACCAAUCCGGAGCGGGGGGCUGGCCCGGGGGAGGGGGCCCGGGGGCCGAUCGGGCACUGGGACUCGGGCCUGGACCUCGUAGGCCAGUUUCUAUGGCAGCCAGGAGGGAGGGGCAGGUUGGAGGGGGACGCGCGGCGCGGGGACACCCAUCGCAGACGCCUCGAGGAGGGAGAUUUGGCCCUGCCGCAGAGAGGACCCCUCCUAGAGCAUGGAUGGGAAGCAGCGACAUAG
rnacentral:lncRNA from 1 species